rnacentral:ncRNA from 17 species
UGUUAGUUUAGUGGUAAAAUAUCUGCCUUCCAAGCAGAUGUCCUGGGUUCGAUUCCCA